AGCUCCAAUAGCGUAUAUUAAAGUUGCUGCAGUUAAAAAGCUCGUAGUUGGAUUUGUGGCGCGGUCGUCCGGCGGGGCUUCCGGUUUCAUAGUAUCCCGGGGCCGUUUGUCUGGGUUCUUGGCCGCCCCAUUCUUCGGUUGCGUGUCGCUGGCAUUAGGUUGUCGGCUUCUUCGCGCCGAUCGUUUACUGUGAGAAAAUCAGAGUGCUCAAAGCAGGCAUUUGCCGUGAAUGUAUUAGCAUGGAAUAAUAGAAUAGGACUUGGUUCUAUUUUGUUGGUUUGUUGGGACUGAGUAAUGAUUAAGAGGGACAGUUGGGGGCAUUUGUAUUUCGGCGCUAGAGGUGAAAUUCUUAGAUUGCCGAAAGACAAACUGCUGCGAAAGCGUCUGCCAAGGAUGUUUU
rnacentral:rRNA from 1 species